rnacentral:tRNA from 1 species
GCGGGGAUAGCUCAGCGGUAGAGCGUCACCUUCCCAAGGUGAGGGUCGCGGGUUCGAAUCCCGUUCCCCGCU